GCAGUGUACCCGCGGCAAGACGGAAAGACCCCGUGAACCUUUACUAUAGCUUGACACUGAACACUGGUCCUUGAUGUGUAGGAUAGGUGGGAGGCUUUGAAGCGUGGACGCCAGUCUGCGUGGAGCCAACCUUGAAAUACCACCCUUUAAUGGCUGGUGUUCUAACGUAGACCCGUAAUCCGGGUUGCGGACAGUGUCUGGUGGGUAGUUUGACUGGGGCGGUCUCCUCCCAAAGAGUAACGGAGGAGCACGAAG
rnacentral:rRNA from 1 species